rnacentral:rRNA from 1 species
CACGUAGGGCGCAAGCGUUGUCCGGAAUUAUUGGGCGUAAGAGCUCGUAGGCGGUCUGUUGCGUCCGCUGUGAAAACUCGGGGCUUAACCCCGAGCCUGCAGUGGAUACGGGCAGACUAGAGGUAGGUAGGGGAGAAUGGAAUUCCCGGUGUAGCGGUGAAAUGCGCAGAUAUCGGGAGGAACACCGGUGGCGAAGGCGGUUCUCUGGGGCCUUACCUGACGCUGAGGAGCGAAAGCGUGGGGAGCGAACAGG